ACAGCAGUAGCCGCGGGAAUACGAAGGGGGCUAGCGUUGUUCGGAUUUACUGGGCGUAAAGCGCACGUAGGCGGAUCGUUAAGUCGGGGGUGAAAUCCUGGAGCUCAACUCCAGAACUGCCUUCGAUACUGGCGAUCUCGAGUCCGGAAGAGGUGAGUGGAACUCCUAGUGUAGAGGUGGAAUUCGUAGAUAUUAGGAAGAACACCAGUGGCGAAGGCGGCUCACUGGUCCGGUACUGACGCUGAGGUGCGAAAGCGUGGGGAGCAAACAGGAUUAGAUACCCCAGUAGUCCCUGUCUCUUAUAC
rnacentral:rRNA from 1 species